AGUGAACGCUGGCGGUAGGCCUAACACAUGCAAGUCGAACGGCAGCACAGUAAGAGCUUGCUCUUACGGGUGGCGAGUGGCGGACGGGUGAGGAAUACAUCGGACUCUACUUUUUCGUGGGGGAUAACGUAGGGAAACUUACGCUAAUACCGCAUACGACCUACGGGUGAAAGCAGGGGAUCUUCGGACCUUGCGCGAUUGAAUGCGCCGAUGUCGGAUUAGCUAGGUGGCGGGGUAAAGGCCCACCAAGGCGACGAUCCGUAGCUGGUCUGAGAGGGUGACCCGCGCCACGGGGACUGAGACACGGCCUAGAGUCUGAGGGGAGGCCGCAGUGGGGAAGAGUGGACAAUGGGCGCAAUCCUGAUCCAGCCAUACCGCGUUGGUGAAGAAGGCCUUCGGGUUGGAAAGCCCUUUUGGUGUUAAAGACAAGCAUCACGUUAAUACCCCGCUGUUCUGACGGUACUCAAAGAAUAAGCACCGGCUAACUUCGUG
rnacentral:rRNA from 1 species